rnacentral:rRNA from 1 species
AUUGAACGCUGGCGGCAGGCCUAACACAUGCAAGUCGAACGAGCGGCGGACGGGUGAGUAAUGUCUGGGGAACUGCCCGAUAGAGGGGGAUAACUACUGGAAACGGUGGCUAAUACCGCAUACUAUCGGAUGUACCCAUAUGGGAUUAGCUAGUAGGUGGGGUAAAGGCUCACCUAGGCGACGAUCCCUAGCUGGUCUGCGAGGAUGAACAGCCACACUGGGACUGAGACACGGUCCAGAUUCCUACGGGAGGCAGCAGUGGGGAAUAUUGCACAAUGGGCGCAAGCCUGAUGCAGCCAUGCCGCGUGUAUGAAGAAGGCCUUAGGGUUGUAAAGUACUUUCAGCGGGGAGGCGUUACCCGCAGAAGAAGCACCGGCUAACUACGUGCCAGCAGCCGCGGUAAUAC